rnacentral:rRNA from 1 species
UACGUAGGGUGCAAGCGUUGUCCGGAAUUAUUGGGCGUAAAGGGCUCGUAGGCGGUCCGUCACGUCGGGAGUGAAAUCCUGGGGCUUAACCCCAGAACUGCUUCCGAUACGGGCAGACUAGAGGUAGGUAGGGGAGAAUGGAAUUCCUGGUGUAGCGGUGGAAUGCGCAGAUAUCAGGAGGAACACCAGUGGCGAAGGCGGUUCUCUGGGCCGUAACUGGCGCUGAGGAGCGAAAGCAUGGGGGAGCGAACAGG